GAUGAACGCUAGCGGCAGGCCUAAUACAUGCAAGUCGAACGGCAGCGGGAAUAGCAAUAUUCGCCGGCGAGUGGCGCACGGGUGCGUAACGCGUAUGCAACCUACCUAUAACUGGGAGGUAGCCCGGAGAAAUUCGGAUUAAUACCCCAUAACAUAUCGGAUUGGCAUCUUUCUGAUAUUAAAGCUCAGGCGGUUAUAGAUGGGAAUGCGUGACAUUAGGUAGUUGGUAAGGUAACGGCUUACCAAGGCUACGAUGUCUAGGGGCUCUGAGAGGAUGAACCCCCACACUGGUACUGAGACACGGACCAGACUGCUACGGGAGGCAGCAGUGGGGAAUUUUGGACAAUGGGCGCAAGCCUGAUCCAGCCAUGCCGCGUGUCUGAAGAAGGCCUUCGGGUUGUAAAGGACUUUUGUCAGGGAGGAAAUCCUAGUGGCUAAUAACUGCUGGGGAUGACAGUACCUGAAGAAUAAGCACCGGCUAACUACGUGCCAGCAGCCGCCGUAAUAC
rnacentral:rRNA from 1 species